rnacentral:rRNA from 1 species
GGCAAUGGAGGCAACUCUGACCCAGCCAUGCCGCGUGGGUGACGAAGGUCUUCGGAUUGUAAAACCCUUUCGGCGGGGACGAUGAUGACGGUACCCGCAGAAGAAGCCCCGGCUAACUUCGUGCCAGCAGCCGCGGUAAUACGAAGGGGGCUAGCGUUGUUCGGAAUUACUGGGCGUAAAGGGCGUGUAGGCGGCCCGUUAAGACAGGUGUGAAAUUCCUGGGCUCAACCCAGGACGUGCGCCUGUGACUGGCGGGCUUGAGUCCGGGAGAGGAUGGUGGAACUCCCAGUGUAGAGGUGAAAUUCGUAGAUAUUGGGAAGAACACCCGUGGCGAAGGCGGCCAUCUGGACCGGUACUGACGCUAAGGCGCGACASUGGGGGAGCAAACAGGAUUAGAUACCCUGGUAGUCCACGCCGUAAACGAUGAGUGCUAGACGUUGGGAAGCCUAGCUUUUCAGUGUCGCAGCUAACGCAUUAAGCACUCCGCCUGGGGAGUACGGCCGCAAGUUGAAACUCAAAGGAAUUGACGGGGGCCCGCACAAGCGGUGGAGCAUGUGGUUCAAUUCGACGCAACGCAAGAACCUUACCAA